rnacentral:rRNA from 1 species
GACGAACGCUGACGGCGUGCUUAACACAUGCAAGUCGAACGGAGUGGCGAACGGGUGAGUAACACGUGGGUGACCUGCCCUGCACUUCGGGAUAAGCCUGGGAAACUGGGUCUAAUACCGGGUAGUGUGGGAUGGGCCCGGGGCCUAUCAGCUUGUUGGUGGGGUAAUGGACUACCAAAGCGGCGACGGGUAGCCGGCCUGGGAGGGUGGACGGCCACAUGGGGACUGCGACAGGGCCCAGACUCCUACGGGAGGCAGCAGUGGGGAAUAGUGCACAAUGGGCGGACGCCUGAUGCAGCGACGCUGCGUGGGGGAUGACGGCCUUCUGGUUGUAAACUCCUUUCACCAUCGACGCGGUAGAUGGAGAAGAAGCACCGGCUAACUACGUGCCAGCAGCCGCGGUAAUUC